rnacentral:rRNA from 1 species
CUACGGGCCGCUCCAGUGAGGAAUAUUGCACAAUGGGGGAAACCCUGAUGCAGCAACGCCGCGUGGAGGAUGACGCAUUUCGGUGUGUAAACUCCUUUUAUGAGUCAAGAAAAUGACGGUAGCUCAUGAAUAAGCACUGGCUAACUCCGUGCCAGCAGCCGCGGUAAUACGGAGGGUGCAAGCGUUACUCGGAAUCACUGGGCGUAAAGGACGCGUAGGCGGGAUGUCAAGUCAGGUGUGAAAUCCUAUGGCUCAACCAUAGAACUGCACUUGAAACUGGCAACCUAGAGUAUGGGAGGGGGAGAUGGAAUUAGUGGUGUAGGGGUAAAAUCCGUAGAUAUCACUAGGAAUACCGAAAGCGAAGGCGAUCUCCCGGAACAUUACUGACGCUAAGGCGUGAAAGCGUGGGGAGCAAACAGGAUUAGAUACCCUUGUAGUC